rnacentral:rRNA from 1 species
UAAAACCAGCACCUCAAGUGGUCAGGAUGAUUAUUGGGCCUAAAGCAUCCGUAGCCGGCUCUGUAAGUUUUCGGUUAAAUCUGUACGCUUAACGUACAGGCUGCCGGGAAUACUGCAAAGCUAGGGAGUGGGAGAGGUAGACGGUACUCGGUAGGAAGUGGUAAAAUGCUUUGAUCUAUCGAUGACCACCUGUGGCGAAGGCGGUCUACCAGAACACGUCCGACGGUGAGGGAUGAAAGCUGGGGGAGCAAACCGGAUUAGAUACCCGGGUAGUCCCAGCUGUAAACUAUGCAAACUCAGUGAUGCAUUGGCUUGUGGCCAAUGCAGUGCUGCAGGGAAGCCGUUAAGUUUGCCGCCUGGGAAGUACGUACGCAAGUAUG